rnacentral:rRNA from 1 species
UACGGAGGAUGCGAGCGUUAUCCGGAUUUAUUGGGUUUAAAGGGAGCGUAGGCGGGUUGUUAAGUCAGUUGUGAAAGUUUGCGGCUCAACCGUAAAAUUGCAGUUGAUACUGGCAUCCUUGAGUACAGUAGAGGUAGGCGGAAUUCGUGGUGUAGCGGUGAAAUGCUUAGAUAUCACGCAGAACUCGAUUGCGAAGGCAGCAUACCGGCGCUCAACUGACGCUGAGGCACGAAAGCGUGGGUAGUCGAACGGAAUAG